CCUACGGGAGGCAGCAGUGAGGAAUAUUGGUCAAUGGACGAGAGUCUGAACCAGCCAAGUAGCGUGAAGGAUGACUGCCCUAUGGGUUGUAAACUUCUUUUAUAUGGGAAUAAAAUGUUCCACGUGUGGGUUUUUGUAUGUACCAUAUGAAUAAGGAUCGGCUAACUCCGUGCCAGCAGCCGCGGUAAUACGGAGGAUCCGAGCGUUAUCCGGAUUUAUUGGGUUUAAAGGGAGCGUAGGUGGAUUGUUAAGUCAGUUGUGAAAGUUUGCGGCUCAACCGUAAAAUUGCAGUUGAUACUGGCAGUCUUGAGUACAGUAGAGGUGGGCGGAAUUCGUGGUGUAGCGGUGAAAUGCUUAGAUAUCACGAAGAACUCCGAUUGCGAAGGCAGCUCACUGGACUGCAACUGACACUGAGGCUCGAAAGUGUGGGUAUCAAACAGGAUUAGAUACCCGAGUAGUC
rnacentral:rRNA from 1 species